AACUUUUGACAAUGGAUCUCUUGGCUCUCGCAUCGAUGAAGAACGCAGCGAAAUGCGAUAAGUAAUGUGAAUUGCAGAAUUUUGUGAAUCAUCGAAUCUUUGAACGCACAUUGCGCCUCCUGGCAUUCCGGGGGGCACACCUGUUCGAGCGCCGUUUAACACCUAAGGCUCGGCCUUGCGUUGACCGUUCCCGUUCCGGGAGCGGUCGAAAAACAUGAAGACUCCAAAGAUGGAAGCAGUACGCAAAAGUAUUUGUGACCAGGCCUUUGGGUCUUGAUAUCCUGACGUAUGGCCUCGGAUCAGGUGGGGAUACCCGCUGAACUUAAGCAUAUCAAUAAGCGGAGGCU
rnacentral:misc_RNA from 1 species